UACGGAGGGUGCGAGCGUUGUCCGGAAUCACUGGGCGUAAAGGGCGCGUAGGCGGCUGGGGUAGUCCGUGGUGAAAGCUCGAGGCUCAACUUCGAGUCGGCCAUGGAUACUCCUCGGCUUGAGCACUGUAGAGGCAGGUGGAAUUCCGGGAGUAGCGGUGGAAUGCGUAGAGAUCCGGAAGAACACCGGUGGCGAAGGCGGCCUGCUGGGCAGUAGCUGACGCUGAGGCGCGACAGCGUGGGGAGCAAACAGG
rnacentral:rRNA from 1 species